rnacentral:rRNA from 1 species
GUCGAGCGAACAGACGAGGAGCUUGCUCCUCUGACGUUAGCGGCGGACGGGUGAGUAACACGUGGAUAACCUACCUAUAAGACUGGGAUAACUUCGGGAAACCGGAGCUAAUACCGGAUAAUAUAUUGAACCGCAUGGUUCAAUAGUGAAAGACGGUUUUGCUGUCACUUAUAGAUGGAUCCGCGCCGCAUUAGCUAGUUGGUAAGGUAACGGCUUACCAAGGCAACGAUGCGUAGCCGACCUGAGAGGGUGAUCGGCCACACUGGAACUGAGACACGGUCCAGACUCCUACGGGAGGCAGCAGUAGGGAAUCUUCCGCAAUGGGCGAAAGCCUGACGGAGCAACGCCGCGUGAGUGAUGAAGGUCUUCGGAUCGUAAAACUCUGUUAUUAGGGAAGAACAAAUGUGUAAGUAACUAUGCACGUCUUGACGGUACCUAAUCAGAAAGCCACGGCUAACUACGUGCCAGCAGCCGCGGUAAUACGUAGGUGGCAAGCGUUAUCCGGAAUUAUUGGGCGUAAAGCGCGCGUAGGCGGCUUUUUAAGUCUGAUGUGAAAGCCCACGGCUCAACCGUGGAGGGUCAUUGGAAACUGGAAAACUUGAGUGCAGAAGAGGAAAGUGGAAUUCCAUGUGUAGCGGUGAAAUGCGCAGAGAUAUGGAGGAACACCAGUGGCGAAGGCGACUUUCUGGUCUGUAACUGACGCUGAUGUGCGAAAGCGUGGGGAUCAAAC